rnacentral:misc_RNA from 1 species
AAGUCGUAACAAGGUUUCCGUAGGUGAACCUGCGGAAGGAUCAUUAACACGUAUCCAACGUUAACCACCCGUGCACCUUCAUUUGCCGAAGCAGCUGUGCUUGAACUUCCGCGGAAGGCCCGUUGGCUGACUGCUUACCGAGUGUCAUCCGCAAGGGUGGUGCUCGGCGGACGCAGCGGAAACCCGAACAACUGUUAGCAAUGGAUAUCUUGGCUCUC